GUGAGUUUUCCUCUCUUCAUUUCUGCUACAUAACAACCUUCUCUUAAGGGCACGAAUUUAGAAUGGAGCAGGGAGGGGGAGGUGGGGGUGGGGAGAGAGAAGCAGAAAAUACUUGGAAUGAAAGACACAUUGCUGUGUCUUCCCCCACUUUUGCUCUAGAGUUUGCAUUUCUGCAAAGAAAAUUGAUUUCAAAUUUAGUAUGCCCUCCCCACCCACAAGCGGGUGGAAACAAGGUCUGUGUGUACCCCAAGGAGAGUCACUCAGGCGAGGUGGCCCACGGCGGUGCCAUGGCUGUCCCUAUAUCUCUGGGAUGUGCAGGAAAGCCCAGGCCCCCUCAUUUUCCCAGGUGACCUUCCUCCUCCCAGCACUGCCCACUGACCCCACUCAGGCCCCGGGGCUCAGCCACAAGUACAGGAAGAGCUUGGUCAAACUGGGGUCAUCCUCAGAGGAAGCUUGUACAGCUGGGGCUGAAUUGCUGCCUCUGCUUAAAGAUUCCAGGUAUUUUGGGCUCGUUCCCCAAUCCUAGCAGAGGAAAUACAUUUAGAAUGAUAGACCUUUGUAGUCAUUUCUCUCAGUUGUCUUAAGGAUCUUAGUGUUGGUUGAUCGUAAAGCCAGUGGGUCUGGUGGAAACAUCGAAGAGUCAGGUGAGGAAGGAAUAGCCGGCCCCAGUGGUGUCUGGGAAUGUGUGUCAGGACAGCAUUCAGACAGAAAACCCACUCACACCCAUAGAUGCAAAUCUGAUGAUGGGAAAUCUUAACAAAGACGGCUCAGCAGAAAUGCUAAGCGUAAUGAUCGGAAAGCUUGCCAGUUUGUCACCAUAGCUAACAUGGAUGUAUUAGUUGGGACAAUACAGAUGCUAACUUAAUGGCUAAGAGGAUGGGCUCUGAAGCCAGGCUGUCUGCGUUCAAAUCCCAGUCCUUCACUUAUUUCUGUGUGACCCGGGGUAAGUUACUUAACUUCUCUGUGCUUCAUUUUUCUCAUUUGUAAGACAGAGGCAGUUACAGUGUCCACCGUAGGAUGAUUGAAAGAAACAAGCUUAUUAGUCAUAUAAAGCAUUUAGAAUGAUGCCUGGCGCAUGUAAGCCUUCUUUUUGUCAUCAUCGUCAUUAUGUUGUCUGCAUAGGGCUGGGAGGCCGACAUUCUGUGCUUAUUGAGCAUCUCUCAUUGUGGGUUGGCCAAUGGGAUACCCCAGACUUUGCACAUGCCGGGCUAUAGGAAUCAUUGCAAAGUGAUCACGUUGCACUGGGCUGCCUUCUGCAAUGCCACCAAAGCGUGGGUGUAGGAGAAGGCCAGUGGCCUCCUGCACUUCCAGCACCAGCCCCUGAGAAAUGCUGUGGAGCACAAGCUUCUUGGUCAGGCUUGAAUCUGUGCAAAUGCCUGCUGGCUAAGGGAAGGGAAGGUUGCACACAAGCGAAAGCUUGUAGCUGGCAUUUCUCAAGUAGAAAUGAAUCUAUAAACAUGCAUAAAAAUGGUUAUAUAAAUUAAUGCUUGUACUUGGCUGUGAGUAACAGAGACCUGACUUCAAUGGCUUAACACUCAGGGUUUAUUCUCUUGUAUGAAAGACUUCUGGAGGUAGUUGGUCCAGGGCUGCUCUCUUGGCUCCACAAAGUCAUCUGGGACCCAGCUUCUUCUAUGUCCCUGAUCCACUACACUGGCUUGCAUUUGUAAGAUAACCUCAAGCUUAUGACUCCUGGCAACAGUAUGGCUGCUGGAGCUCCAGCCAUCAUAUUUCAGGCAACAGGAAGGAAGAAGAAAGGAAGAAGGGCUUGCAUUUCCUUUGAAGGAGCUUUCCCCGAAGUUUUCCACCAACAUUUCCACCUAUGUCUCUUUGACCUAGAACUUCAUCAUUUGGCCAAGGGAAGUUGGGGAGUAGUUUCAACUGGUUGUGUUCCUACUUUAAACCAAGGUGGGGUCUGUCAUUAAGAAAGGUGAGGGAAAUGGAUAUUGGAUAGGAAUUAGCAGUCUCUGCCCUAAUUCUGAAAUGAAAUUCGCAUCCCAUUCUGAAAAAAAACUGCAGGUCUGAAUCCAAGAAACUGUGGCAAUCACAGACCCCUGAUACCUAGCAGAGGACCUUAGCCAUGUCAUUGACCACUCUGCACCCAGAUCCCUCAUUCGUAAAACAAUCCCCAUGAAUCACAAGAAAACACAUUUUCACCAAAUCUGGGUCAGAUAAUUCCAAUGGCACAUGGCUCUCUGGAGAGUGGGGGGAAUUGCCAUGGCGUAUGCAAAUGAGCAGCCAAUGGGGAUUUGUGCUGCUUUCUCUAGAGUCCUAGGCCCUGGGGAUGCAGGAGUGAAUGGGAGACAGCCCCAGCCCUUGGGCGCUUUCCAGCUAGUGGGGCAGAUGCGGAGCCAGAGAAUUGCUAUCCGUGGUGGUAAAUGCUUCUCUAGAGCAACGACUCAGAGCUGUGCAAGCUUGGAAGAGGGUGAGGCUCGCCCUGCCCGGCAGACUCAAGGAGCCUGCUCAGAGGAGGGGGCCUGCUGGACACAUGAGUGGCAUUGGCUUUGACUGCUGAAGAGUGAGAGGUUCAUAUUUAUCUGGUGACCCACCAAAGUCAUGUCAGUUAAGAAAUUUGUGAAUAGGCUAAUCAAAUGUGGUAAAUAGAAGAAUAGCUUCCUUGGAGGCAUGAGAUACUAAAAUGACUUACAUUAGUACAUUGUGUUACAGUUAUCACAGACCUUCUAUCAAAGAUCCAAAGCUUCUGGACAAGGCCGACCUCACCCACCACUGGAAUGUAUUACGGGAAGCCAGAUAGGAUGCAGCUGGGGCCUAUUUACUCACAGUGGCCAAGGUUAAAGCAGACGAGUGCCCCCCAGUGAGGAAGGAACACACUCUCAGGCACAGUGAGCAGCGAUGUUUCAGUCGUCCGUUUCGCCGGGAUGUAGAGUGGCCAAGAGUUAGUCACUUAAUUCUGAUCAAUCCAACAGACGUCUCCUCCCCACAACGCAAGCCAACACUUUCUGAAGACAGGAAAUUGGGAAAAGGGUUAAUUUGGAAGUGGCUUCUCUUUACCCUCUUGCUGUGGCUGUUUCCCAAGGGUCUGUCCUUAGCAUUUUCUCUCUCUGUACUUUCUCAUGGCUUCAACCACACCCCUAACAUAUUCCUUCUUUAUCUGAAUUUCCAGCCUCGACCCCCUCUCGGAGUAUCAGGGUACGUGCCCCAUUUUCUGAGAAAUAGUAAUAGGAUUGCUCCAUGAACAGUUUUCCUGAGUGACCAGUUGAUAGUUCAAAUUAAAUAGAUUAUUAAAUUAAAUAGAUGCAAAACCUAAAUUAUUUCAGAUUCCCCUCAACCUUGUUCUUCUUUCUAUGUCCCCUCUAUCUACUGAUGGUGCCACUAACUCCCUCCGUCACUCAGUGCUGGAAAUGUGUAAUUACUGCUGAGAGUGGCCUCAAUCCAAAUUGGGAUAGCUUUUUGACUUUCGGCCUAUUGGCUUGGGUUUGGAUGGCACUUUGGUUAACAUUUCUUCUCUUUGUUCUCCACAGCAGCCACUUGCCUGUCUCCCUCUUGCUUUCCUCCUAUAUUUCCUGAAUUAUGAAACAGUAAUAACCUUCAUGUAUUCUUUCAAGAACUAGUGACCGCACACCUGCCUUGGGCCAUGGACUCCCUGGGCGCUGCUGACAUAGCAGUGAACUUGGCAAAUGGAAUCCCUGCCAUCAUGGGGUUUACCAUAUAAUGAUCAUAACAACAGAUUUUGAGCAUUUGUCGUGUGCCAGGCUCUAAGUUAAGUAUUUACAUGCAUUAUUUUGUUUAAUUCUCAUAAAAACUAUAAUACUAUUAAUAUCUUGGUUGACAUUAAGGAAACUGAGUCUCAGAGAAGGGAGGUAAGUUGCCCAAGGUCUCCCAGGGAGCUUGGCGUGGAUUUGGGCCACCCCUCCAUCCCUCUUGGUCCUUAAACAUUUAGCCUCUGUUUGUUCGGAUUGCCAUGUAUGAUCUGUGUCAUUUUGGAAUCUGUCUGAUCCACUAAUCCUCCAUGUGCAAGGACCCAGGCGAUACUAAGGAUACCAGUGUGUUGAAUAAAGCCAGGACCCGUCUGGAAACGGGGCAGUGCUUAGAGACGCAGGGCGGGGGAAGGAGAUAGG
rnacentral:lncRNA from 1 species